rnacentral:tRNA from 3 species
GCCUCCGUAGCUCAGCCUGGCAGAGCGUCUGUUUCGUAAACAGAAAGUCGGGGGUUCAAAUCCCUCCGGGGGCU